CGGGUUGUUGCUGGCCCCCAAACCGGGCACGUGCACGCCCUGUUUACGCAUCCACUCACACCUGUGCACCCUCUGUAGUUCUGUGGACCGGGAGACGUCGUCUUCCUUCCGUGGCUCUACGUCUUUACACACACGCCGUAGCGAAGUCUCAUGGAAUGUUUUUCGCGUUUAACGCAAUACAAUACAACUUUCAGCAACGGAUCUCUUGGCUCUCGCAUCGAUGAAGAACGCAGCGAAAUGCGAUAAGUAAUGUGAAUUGCAGAAUUCAGUGAAUCAUCGAAUCUUUGAACGCACCUUGCGCCCCUUGGUUAUUCCUCGGGGCAUGCCUGUUUGAGUAUCAUGAACACCUCAACUCUCGUGGUCUUCCAUGAUGAGCUUGGACUUUGGGGGUUUGCUGGCCCUGUGGCCGGCUCCUCUCAAACGAAUCAGCUUGCCAGUGUUUGGCGGCGUCACGGGUGUGAUAACCAUCUACGCUUGCGAUCGCCUGCCAGAUAACCCUCAGCGAUGAAGGUUCAUUGGGGCUCACAAAAGUCUCUCCACGGCGAGGACAAAUUUUGAAUGUUCGAUCUCAAAUCAGGUAGGACUACCCGCUGAACUUAAGCAUAUCAAUAAGCGGAGGAAAAGAAACUAACAAGGAUUCCCCUAGUAACUGCGAGUGAAGCGGGAAGAGCUCAAAUUUAAAAUCUGGCGUGCCUCCGGUCGUCCGAAUUGUAGUCUGGAGAAGCGUUUUCCGUGCUGGA
rnacentral:rRNA from 1 species